rnacentral:tRNA from 1 species
GGGGACAUAGCUCAGUUGGGAGAGCGCUUCCAUGGCAUGGAAUAGGUCCGGGGUUCAAGUCCCCGUGUCUCCACCA